UACGGAGGGGGCUAGCGUUGUUCGUAAUUACUGGGCGUAAAGCGCACGUAGGCGGCUUUGUAAGUUAGAGGUGAAAGCCCGGGGCUCAACCCCGGAAUAGCCUUUAAGACUGCAUCGCUUGAACACGGGAGAGGUGAGUGGAAUUCCGAGUGUAGAGGUGAAAUUCGUAGAUAUUCGGAAGAACACCAGUGGCGAAGGCGGCUCACUGGACCGUUGUUGACGCUGAGGUGCGAAAGCGUGGGGAGCAAACAGG
rnacentral:rRNA from 1 species